rnacentral:rRNA from 1 species
AUGGUUGGAUCGGAGGAAUUCGCGGCGCAGAUGGUCGACGCCCUUACACAGCGAAGGGGGAUCGUUGCUCAGGUGCUGACCAAGGAUGAGCUGAGGGAGUUCUGGGAGCAGCUAUCAGAUUCAGGUCCAUCUUGCAAAGAUUUGGUACUUGUCCAUCUUGCAAACAGAAGAAACAGAGGAUGCUUAUCAGGUCCAUCUUGCAAAGAUGCCUCAGACCCAGCAAAAGAUGAACAAAGAUUUGGUUUCAUUGCAAGUUUUGGACAGCAUUCAAGCUUAUCAGGUCAGUUAGUUUCUUCAUUUAUUAUUAUUGGCCUGCCAACUGCUUCCAUUAUCCUUCUGAACACAACCUUUGCAGGGACGCACGGAAUUUCUCUUCUUUCUCUUUCUCUGCUUCGAAGGUGGUGCCGCUUGGAGGGUACUGCUGCUUGGAGGAUGCUGCUGCUCUUCUUUCCCUUUAUCUGCUUCUUUCCCUUUCUUUGCUUGGAGGGUGCUGUUGCUCUUCUUUCUCUUUAUCUGCUUCGAAGGUGGUGGUGCUGCUGCUGCUGCUUGUAG